rnacentral:lncRNA from 1 species
AUGUGACACCCCAAUUAUCCCACAUCGGAUGGGAAUGAAAUUGUCAUUAGAUUUAUAAGAGACUUAGAUAUUAGUAAUAGUAACUUGGCUUAAGCAUUUUGGGCUGUUGGCUGGGCCCAACAAGUUAUUAUUGCUAGUGGGUUGGGUCGUUACAUUUGGUAUCAGAGCCGGUUCACCAGCUGGAUAUGUGUGGCGAGUCUCUGCUGAGUCUGGGUCUGGAUGACGGGCUAGCGAGACGAGUCUCACAUCGCGCAUUUUGGGCCGGUGUUUGGGC